rnacentral:rRNA from 1 species
ACGGAAGGCAGCAGUGGGGGAUAUUAGACAAUGGGGGAAACCCUGAUGCAGCGACGCCGCGUGAAGGAAGAAGUAUCUCGGUAUGUAAACUUCUAUCAGCAGGGAAGAUAAUGACGGUACCUGACUAAGAAGCCCCGGCUAACUACGUGCCAGCAGCCGCGGUAAUACGUAGGGGGCAAGCGUUAUCCGGAUUUACUGGGUGUAAAGGGAGCGUAGACGGACUGGCAAGUCUGAUGUGAAAGGCUGGGGCUCAACCCCGGGACUGCAUUGGAAACUGUCAGUCUUGAGUGCCGGAGGGGUAAGCGGAAUUCCUAGUGUAGCGGUGAAAUGCGUAGAUAUUAGGAGGAACACCAGUGGCGAAGGCGGCUUACUGGACGGUAACUGACGUUGAGGCUCGAAAGCGUGGGGAGCAAACAGGAUUAGAUACCCUGGUA